rnacentral:rRNA from 1 species
UACGUAGGCAGCGAGCGUUGUUCGGAAUUACUGGGCUUAAAGCGUGUGUAGGCGGCGGCGUAAGUACCUUGUGAAAUCCCACGGCUCAACCGUGGAACUGCUCGGUAUACUGCGUCGCUUGAGCCAGCUAGGGGCGACCGGAACAAACGGUGGAGCGGUGAAAUGCGUAGAUAUCGUUUGGAACGCCGAUGGUGAAAACAGGUCGCUGGGGCUGUGCUGACGCUGAGACACGAAAGCCAGGGGAGCGAACGGG